GCUACGGGAGGCAGCAGUGAGGAAUAUUGGUCAAUGGGCGCGAGCCUGAACCAGCCAAGUAGCGUGAAGGAUGACUGCCCUACGGGUUGUAAACUUCUUUUAUAAAGGAAUAAAGUGAGGCACGUGUGCCUUUUUGUAUGUACUUUAUGAAUAAGGAUCGGCUAACUCCGUGCCAGCAGCCGCGGUAAUACGGAGGAUCCGAGCGUUAUCCGGAUUUAUUGGGUUUAAAGGGAGCGUAGAUGGGUUGUUAAGUCAGUGGUGAAAGUUUGCGGUUCAACCGUAAAAUUGAAUUUGAUCCUGGCAGUCUUGAGUACAGUUGAGGUAGGCGGAAUCCGGGGUGUAGCGGGGAA
rnacentral:rRNA from 1 species